AACCCCCGGAGCGCCACCUCCUCCCCGGUCUCGGGAGUCCCUUUCGGCCUCUCCCGAGGGCCAACUGAAACAUCGCUCUCGAGACCAUCUCCAACCGGCCACCGGGACCUUCCUCGUCUCUCCGCCAAGCUAUCAUCAGCACAACCAUCUGGGACUUUCCAAGAUGUACAAAUUUCUAUGACGGCACUAUUGCCUUAAACUGCAACAGAAUUAUGUCUUGUUAAUCUUGUAUCCUUAAUGCUUGGCACAUAGUAGGUGCUCAAUAAAUAUUUGAUGAAAUGGAUUAAGUAGAGUGCAGAGUUUCAAGCUUUUAAGCAUUAGCAUAAGAGAAAAAAAAAUACUAUGCUGAGUCAGGCUAUAUUCAAUCUAGCCAGCUCUAAAUUCUGACAGUGGCACCAAAGGAUAUUCUGUGGGAAAAGAUGGGGACAGUCAUGCAUGAUGUUGACCUCAGAGAAGUACUCCAGCCUCUUGGAAUGUUGCUAUGCCAUGAAGAAGCCCAGGGUGAAAGACCAUGGAGAGAGGCCCAGCUGUCCCAGAUGCUCAGCUGAGCUCAGACCCCAGCCGACCACCCGUUGAAUGCAACUUUGUGACUGAGCCCAGGCAGAUAACAGCAGAAGAACCAUCUGGCCAACCCAGUAAAUCAUGAGAAGUAUUAAUUUGUUGUUGUUUUAAGCCACUACGUUUGGGGGAGUUUUUUAAGUUAUUUAACAGU